AGCGAACGCUGGCGGCGUGCUUAACACAUGCAAGUCGAGUGCGUAGCCCUUUGUAGCAAUACAGAGGGUGGGCGCACGGCGCACGGGUGAGUAACACGUGGGUAACCUGCCCUUCGGUGGGGAAUAACCCGCGAAAGCGGGGCGUAAUUCCGCAUAACAUUCCGGGACGACAUGUUCUCGGACUCAAAGGAGUGAUUCGCCGGAGGAGGGG
rnacentral:rRNA from 1 species